rnacentral:rRNA from 1 species
AUUGAACGCUGGCGGCAGGCUUAACACAUGCAAGUCGAGCGGGGUGAUGGUGCUUGCACUAUCACUUAGCGGCGGACGGGUGAGUAAUGCUUAGGAAUCUGCCUAUUAGUGGGGGACAACAUCUCGAAAGGGAUGCUAAUACCGCAUACGUCCUACGGGAGAAAGCAGGGGAUCACUUGUGACCUUGCGCUAAUAGAUGAGCCUAAGUCGGAUUAGCUAGUUGGUGGGGUAAAGGCCUACCAAGGCGGCGAUCUGUAGCGGGUCUGAGAGGAUGAUCCGCCACACUGGGACUGAGACACGGCCCAGACUCCUACGGGAGGCAGCAGUGGGGAAUAUUGGACAAUGGGGGGAACCCUGAUCCAGCCAUGCCGCGUGUGUGAAGAGGGCCUUAUGGUUGUAAAGCACUUUAAGCGAGGAGGAGGCUCUUUUGGUUAAUACCCAAGAUGAGUGGACGUUACUCGCAGAAUAAGCACCGGCUAACUCUGUGCCAGCCGCCGCCGUAA